GCCUCUGCAGCUCAGUUGGUUAGAGUGCUGCACCGGAAUCGCAGGGCCAUUGGUACAAUUCCUACCAGAGUGCA